rnacentral:misc_RNA from 1 species
CGACCUCGAGCGUAGCUUGGUGUUGAGGACUGUCGCCCCGGCGGCAUCCUUUAAAAGCAUUGGCGGCAGCGCAGCUCAAUCGCAACAAAAUGCGUGCCAAGCUGUUGAUUGUUUGCCAUAACACCCCCCUUCACAGGGUUUUUUACA